UGGUUCUGGCAUNGAUGAAGAACGCAGCGAAAUGCGAUAAGUAAUGUGAAUUGCAGAAUUCAGUGAAUCAUCGAAUCUUUGAACGCACAUUGCGCCCGCUAGUAUUCUGGCGGGCAUGCCUGUUCGAGCGUCAUUUCAACCCUCAGGCUCUCGCCUGGUGAUGGGGCUUCUCCCGCGUUGCUGCGGGGCCCCGAAUUACAGUGGCGGACUCUGUCAUACUCCGAGCGAAGUAAUUUCUCCCGCUCAGGGCGUGUGGCAGCGGUCUAGCCCCUCUGAAAACUUUUAUAAGUUGACCUCGGAUCAGGUAGGAAUACCCGCUGA
rnacentral:misc_RNA from 1 species